UACUCUUGUAUUUAUUUGAAUUGGUAUAUGAAUAUUUAUUUGCGCUCUUGCAUGAUAGUGUUUAAUUACUUAAUAUGCUUGCAUUUAAUUGCAUUGUUUGAUUAUUUGCGUUGUGAUAUUGCGAUGCCUUAUUGUGUGGAAUUGGGAUGAAGUGGGUCACCAUGGGUUUGUGAGGGUGGUCUUAGAUACCGUCGACUACGUAUGAGGAGAUCGACGCCCCCGUGUGCAUAUGAUGAUAUGGAUUAUAUGGAAAACCACAGGUUGGCCUCCUGUUGGUAUGGAAAAAGAAGAGAGGGCUGGUCAAGUGAGGAUUAGAUCGGUCGGCCAUGUAUGGGGAUUGGCUUCCUAGUGCACACGUCAUGAGAGGAUGGCCCAUAUGGGAGGACGGCUUACCGGGGGUUUCGAUGACGUCACAAAUCAAUUUUCACGUGAUGUGAAGGAAGUAUCCGACUGAAGCUCUACAAUCUUUUCCGCAGGGCUACAGAAGUAAAUUUCUAAUUUUUGUAAUAGUCUAAUUUAUAUAUUGUCAUAUGUAAGGACUUCACUACUUCUAGCUAUGAGUGAACUCCGCAGUUGUAGGACUUAUAUGUCUCUCAUCAUGUAUUAAUAUGAAUAUCUUAACUUGUGAACGUUUUUAAUUGUUUA